rnacentral:rRNA from 1 species
AAACUUAAAUGAAUUGACGGGGACCCGCACAAGCGGUGGAGCAUGUGGUUUAAUUCGACGAUACACGAAGAACCUUACCUGGACUUGACAUAGUAAGAACUUUCUAGAGAUAGAUUGGUGUCUGCUUGCAGAAACUUAUAUACAGGUGCUGCACGGCUGUCGUCAGCUCGUGUCGUGAGAUGUUGGGUUAAGUCCCGCAACGAGCGCAACCCUCGUCAUUAGUUGCUAACAGUUCGGCUGAGAACUCUAAUGAGACUGCCUACGCAAGUAGGAGGAAGGUGAGGACGACGUCAAGUCAUCAUGGCCCUUACGUCCAGGGCUACACACGUGCUACAAUGGGGUAUACAAAGAGCAGCAAUACAGUGAUGUGGAGCAAAUCUCAAAAAUAUCUCCCAGUUCGGAUUGUAGUCUGCAACUCGACUACAUGAAGUUGGAAUCGCUAGUAAUCGUAGAUCAGCUAUGCUACGGUGAAUACGUUCCCGGGUCUUGUACUCACCGCCCGUCACACCAUGGGAGUUGAACUCAUUCGAAGCGGGGAUGCUAAAGUAGCUACCUUCCACAGUGGAUUCAGCGACUGGGGUGAAGUCGUAACAAGGUAACCGUAGGAGAACCUGCGGUUGGAUCACCUCCUUUAUG